rnacentral:misc_RNA from 1 species
AAUUCUCAACCCAACCCCUUUUUUUGUGAAAGCAGGGUUUUUUGGGCUUGGACUUUGGAGGUCUUUGCUGGUCCCCCCUGGGAUCGGCUCCUCUUGAAUGCAUUAGUGGAGCUUUCCAUCGUCUGCUCUGCCUCUCGGUGUGAUAAUUCAUCUGCGCCGACGUGAGAGAAGAAAAGAAAGGUGCCGCUUCGAACCGUCUCGUUCAGAGACCUUUUUGAACCCU